rnacentral:rRNA from 1 species
GAUGAACGCUGGCGGCGUGCCUAAUACAUGCAAGUCGAGCGAAUGGAUUAAGAGCUUGCUCUUAUGAAGUUAGCGGCGGACGGGUGAGUAACACGUGGGUAACCUGCCCAUAAGACUGGGAUAACUCCGGGAAACCGGGGCGAAUACCGGAUAACAAUUUGAACCGCAUGGUUCGAAAUUGAAAGGCGGCUUCGGCUGUCACUUAUGGAUGGACCCGCGUCGCAUUAGCUAGUUGGUGAGGUACCGGCUCACCAAGGCAACGAUGCGUAGCCGACCUGAGAGGGUGAUCGGCCACACUGGGACUGAGACACGGCCCAGACUCCUACGGGAGGCAGCAGUAGGGAAUCUUCCGCAAUGGACGAAAGUCUGACGGAGCAACGCCGCGUGAGUGAUGAAGGCUUUCGGGUCGUAAAACUCUGUUGUUAGGGAAGAACAAGUGCUAGUUGAAUAAGCUGGCACCUUGACGGUACCUAACCAGAAAGCCACGGCUAACUACGUGCCAGCAGCCGCCGUAA